rnacentral:rRNA from 1 species
AUGAGUUCUCUAAGAGGGUUUGGAAAUAUCGCCAGAAGAUGGAGAGAACUCAAUGGUGCGAAUUACUGGAAGGGGCUACUUGAUCCUCUUGACGUCGACCUCCGGAAGAAUAUCAUCAACUACGGUGAGCUCUCACAGGCAGCAUACACUGGGCUCAACAGAGAGAGAAGGUCAAGGUACGCUGGGUCUUGCCUCUUCAGACGCAAGGACUUCCUCAGCAGGGUAGAUGUAUCAAACCCUAAUCUGUAUGAGAUUACGAAGUUUAUAUAUGCAAUGUGUACCGUGAGCUUGCCGGAUGAUUUCAUGAUAAAGCCACUGUCAAAGGCCGCAUGGAGCAAGCAGUCAAAUUGGAUGGGGUUUGUUGCUGUGGCCACCGACGAGGAAAUAGUACGACCAGGGAGUGCCAAUGAUCCCCGUGUUCAUGGAGGAUGGUUGUCCGUCUACACGAGUACUGACCCAGGGUCUCGGUACAAUGAACAGAGUGCACGAUAUCAGGUGUUGGAUGAAGUCAAAAGGCUGCAGGAUCUGUACAAGCAAGAGGAGACCAGCAUCACCAUAACAGGUCACAGCCUUGGGGCCGCUCUUGCAACCAUUAGUGCUACCGACAUUGUCUCCAACGGCUACAACAAAACCUGCCCGGUCUCGGCCUUCGUGUUUGGUAGCCCCAGAGUGGGCAACUCCGACUUCCAGAAAGCAUUUGACAGUGCGGAAGAUCUGAGGUUGCUCCGUGUCCGGAACUCCCCUGACGUGGUCCCAAACUGGCCAAAGCUGGGAUACAGCGACGCCGGCACAGAGCUCAUGAUCGACACAGGGGAAUCACCCUACAUCAAGAGCCCUGGGAACCCCUUAACAUGGCAUGAUAUGGAGUGUUACAUGCAUGGGGUUGCCGGGACGCAGGGGAGCAACGGAGGGUUUGAGUUGGAGGUUGAUCGGGACAUCGCGUUGGUGAAUAAACACGAAGAUGCACUGAAGAAGGAGUAUUCGAUUCCACCGUCUUGGUGGGUGGUUCAGAACAAAGGUAUGGUGAAAGGCAAGGAUGGUCGGUGGCAUCUGGCCGACCAUGAGGAUGAUGAUGACUGA